rnacentral:rRNA from 1 species
CCUACGGGUGGCAGCAGUGGGGGAUAUUGCACAAUGGGGGGAACCCUGAUGCAGCGACGCCGCGUGGGUGAAGAAGCGCCUCGGCGCGUAAAGCCCUGUCAGCAGGGAAGAAAAUUACGGUAACUGAAGAAGACGCCCCGGCUAACUACGUGCCAGCCGCCGCGGGAAGACGUAGGGGGCACGCGUUAUCCGGAUUUACUGGGGGUAAAGGGGGCGCAGACGGCGAUGCAAGCCAGGAGUGAAAGCCCGGGGCCCAACCCCGGGACGGCUCUUGGAACUGCGGGGCUGGAGUGCAGGAGGGGCAGGCGGAAUUCCUGGUGUAGCGGUGAAAUGCGUAGAUAUCAGGAGGAACACCAGUGGCGAAGGCGGCCUGCUGGACUGCAACUGACGUUGAGGCCCGAAAGCGUGGGGAGCAAACAGGAUUAGAUACCCUGGUAGUC